rnacentral:rRNA from 1 species
AAUACCGCAUACGUCCUACGGGAGAAAGCAGGGGACCUUCGGGCCUUGCGCUAUCAGAUGAGCCUAGGUCGGAUUAGCUAGUUGGUGGGGUAAUGGCUCACCAAGGCGACGAUCCGUAACUGGUCUGAGAGGAUGAUCAGUCACACUGGAACUGAGACACGGUCCAGACUCCUACGGGAGGCAGCAGUGGGGAAUAUUGGACAAUGGGCGAAAGCCUGAUCCAAAAGUGCCGCGUGUGUGAAGAAGGUCUUCGGA